rnacentral:lncRNA from 1 species
GAGCCUUUACUCAUUCCAUACUUCUUGGACAGGUUUAAGGUUACCGAGAGGGUCAAAGUUGUCUUCUCCCAAUUUGAGUACCAUGAGGAGGUGUGGUGUGAUAUUCUUCCAUUGACAUAUGGUCAUGUAUGCUUAGGUGUCGAUUGGUUUGCACAACAUAGAGUUCUAAAUGUGCAAAAUUGGCCUAAUGUUAUAAGAGAUCGGUGGGGAAAUCACCUCAUGACAUACAUGCUGCCCGAG